GCCCGACAGCGGGCUCGGUCAGCGGCUUGCGUCCAGCAGCUUAGGGUCAGCUGUCUGCGGACCGGCUUCCGGGACCAGCCAGCCCGCUGAGCCGCCUGCCCCCGCGGUCCGGCUCCCGGCUCGGCCCGCCGGCCCGGACGCGCCCAGAGCCCCCCACGGCUGCAGCGCUGCCCUGAUGUGGACGUGGGCGCGGGGGCCCGGCUCCAGCUUCCAUCCCGGGGCCGCGACAGAGCCCGGGUCGUGCUCGGCCCCGGCCUCCGCUCACUCUGCACCUGACGGGGCGAGACGGGAAAGCAGCCCGGCCCGGGAGUCCCAGCCCUCCCAGAACCCUGGCGUUGGAGGGGUCCGGCUGACUAUCCACCCGAGGGUGCCCCGCGGGGCCGCCGAGCGGAGCGGGGAUCGGUUUGGGACCGAAUCUGCGUUCUCCUGGGCAGAGUGGGCCCUGGUUCUCACCAUAUUUCCAAAGGGCUCCCCUCCCAAGAGGUCUAACUAAUAACGACAAUUCAGCGUUUCUACGGCUCUGACCGCGUUCCAGGCGCUUCGCUCAACCCUGUCCGAACAUCCCCUUUAGUCUCCCAGCCGCCUGUGUGCAGGUGAUAUCACUACCUCUGCUUUCAGUGGAGGAACUGAGGCCCAGAGAGAACCCUGAAAACCAUCUUUCCCAGUGUCUGGCCAGAGGUAUAGGGAGAGACAGAUUUGACCCCCUGAGGCCAAGAAGGAACAAGGCCCAUUGGGAACAAUGGCGACACCCCUGAUCUCCAGCCCCUCCUUCCCUUGGGGCAGGACAAGAUCUUGAUCCUGAAGGUGGAAGAGGACUUCUGCUGGGAAGAGGAGCCCUCUCUGGACUGGAGACCUUCCACCAGCUUUUUCGGCUCUUCUGCUACCAGGAGGUGGCCAGAUCUCUGGAGGCCCUGAGCCACCUCCGGGAGCUGCCCCUGGCCUUGGCCUGAGCUGGGCACCAAGGAGCAGAUCCUGGAGCUGCUGGUGCUGGAGCAGUGGCUGACGGUGCUGCCGCGGGAUAUCCAGGCCCGGGUGCGGGAGCGGCCGCCAGAGAGCAGUAGGACAGACAUAUCCCCCAAACUUGACCACACUGUUGAGUGCAGUAAGCAGAUCCUGCUAUUGUUGAAGGUUGGGCCUGAGACCGGGGUCCUCGGUGCUGCUUUCGCAUUCCCUGGGCCAUCUGUUGUCCCGAGUUCUGUUGCAAAGC
rnacentral:lncRNA from 1 species